rnacentral:rRNA from 1 species
UGGGGAAUAUUGCACAAUGGGGGAAACCCUGAUGCAGCGACGCCGCGUGAGCGAAGAAGGCUUUCGAGUCGUAAAGCUCUGUCCUAUGAGAAGAUAAUGACGGUAUCAUAGGAGGAAGCCCUGGCUAAAUACGUGCCAGCAGCCGCGGUAAUACGUAUGGGGCGAGCGUUGUCCGGAAUUAUUGGGCGUAAAGGGUACGUAGGCGGUUUUUUAAGUCAGGUGUCAAAGCGUGGAGCUUAACUCCAUUAAGCACUUGAAACUGAAAGACUUGAGUGAAGGAGAGGGAAGUGGAAUUCCUAGUGUAGCGGUGAAAUGCGUAGAUAUUAGGAGGAAUACCGGUGGCGAAGGCGACUUUCUGGGCUUUUACUGACGCUCAGGUACGAAAGCGUGGGGAGCAAACAGG